GUGGCGUGUGGCUGUGCUUAGACACACAGCACAUGUCACCUCUGUCCUUGGGGUUCUGUGCUGUGCCAGGCACCAGCCCUCAGUCCAGAGCUCUGGGCUUCUCCUGCCGUGCCCUGCUGGGCUCCGCUGUGACCUCUCCUGGCCACGGAGAGACUGGAGAGACACCCACUGGCGAGGACGGGGUGCCCAGCAGAUAAGACAAGCCCACGGCCGACAGGAAAGAUCCCCAGGACACAGAACGAGGCCACUCUGCUCACUGAGCUGAAUUUUGCCUAGGAAGAAGGGAGCACCGUCCAGGGCGGCUGCCCACGGGCAGGCUCAGCCGGGAGAGUGCACGACCAGACCCGGGGGGCAUCUGAGCCCAUCUAGCUGUCGUGAAUCAUCCAUGUGAAGUCUAUGGGCUCUGCUCCUGUUGUGUUUUAGUGAGUGGAUAAAUAACUUCCAAACAU